AAAGCGGUUUUUACGGUACAAAUUGUACUCAUCUCUGUGGACAUUGUACAAAAAACGCAACAUGUGAUCACAUUAAUGGUUCCUGUCCAAACGGAUACUGUGAGCCAGGAUGGGAACAUACACCUGAAAAGAGAUGUGAUGAAGAAUGUGACAACGGUACAUUUGGAUUAUACUGUAAGCACAGUUGUAGUGGAAACUGCGCAGGUGGAUUACACUGCUCCAAAGUAAAUGGGUAUUGUUCACGAGGGUGUAAUGAUGGAUGGAUAAAGUUUUUUUGCAAUGAAACAUGCAACGACUAUUAUUAUGGAAAGAACUGUUCAAAUCCCUGUGGAAAGUGUGCAAAAUCCUCAAAAUGUGAUCACGUAGAUGGUUCCUGUCCUAAUGGAUACUGUGAAAAAGGAUGGAAAAAUACACCUGAUAAGAGAUGCAAUAUUGCAUGCAGUCACGGGCACUUUGGACAUAAUUGUCAAGAAAUAUGUGGUAAAUGUGAAAACAACAAAACAUGUGAUCACAUAAAUGGAUCCUGUCACGGAUUUUGUGAACCCGGAUAUCAGGGAGAAGAAUGUC